GGUCAAUGAUGAUAAGUAAAAGGUCCGACAGCACUUUAUUAAAUGCCCACAUGCCAGCUAGCUCCCAGGAAAUCCUAUCUUUCCCAUCCUGCUCAAGGUGUGCUGUGAUGGUGGUAGACUUCCUGACAAUAACUGUGCCACUGAUUUAGUUGACAUUUUCAAAGAGGAAUUUGGAGUGUCUUCACAAUGGGCACCACACAAAACUGGUAGCCCAGGAGCUUUGGGUAUUGUGGGGAUUUACCUCUGGUGCAUGACUGCAAGUUUUCAAGCUGAGACC